GUCUAUUAGUCUCUGUGCUUUUCAGAAAACAAAUAAAAAAUACAAAAACACUCUGGCUUCUAAAAUCCAAAUAUACAGACGUACUAUUCCUGUUCUGUAUUGACUUGGGCUGCCAUAACAAAGUACUAUAGACUCAGUGCCUGGAAAUCAGACACUCGUCUCUGGCUACUGGCGACCUGUACAGUCCAUUUAUCCAUAUCAGCUAUGAUACACACAGCUUCUGCUAUUGGUUCAUCCAACACUGGAUGCUGGGAAAAAGAAAGAACAACACAUCUAAAAAUGAACAAGUAAAGUUUCCAAAGAUAAGAUUCCUGGAACUCUACUUGCUUUUUUAAAGCACAGGUACAAAGAUGCUCAAAUGCUUCACAUAUGAAGUAACAAAUCCAGAGAACAGUAACUGUGCUACACAGUGAAGUUUGACCAAGAACAUAUGGCAAUUCUGGGUUCUUCUCAUUAAGAGUGUUCUAAGUAAACUGCAGAACAGAGAUGGCUAUUACCUGCACAGCAUGAGACAAGUCUGACAACAGACAUUGACGGAGCCUCUCAUCACUCCCAAUUCCUUGGAGAACGAAGUCAGGCACGUACGACGAGCAGUAACCAGCCAGCAAGGACCUCCCAAAGUUGGCAAUGUUGGGCUGAACCGCACUGACUUCAACUAAUUUUGAGCUAGAACAAAGAUUCCCCAAGAAGGCAUAUCCAGUUAACAGUAAACACAUUUCCCAGAAAAAAGAAAAAAAAACUGUGUACCCUGCCAGUUUAUAUUUCCAAUACAUUAUUUUCUACAAAACACAGACUAUCAAGCUUAAAUAAAAACUUGUGUAAGUGGUCAGA